rnacentral:piRNA from 1 species
UGAACUAGUUAGGUGUGGGCUCUAUUGCUC